GGUAAUUCAAAUGUAAACCUGUCUUUAAUUAUCAGAGGUGUCGAAUUUAUCAAAAAUAUUAGGGGGCCAUUUAGAAUUAUCUUUCAUAAUGGUGGAGAUGGGUAAUUUAGAUGAAAAUUAGGUAGUUUUUAGUUUGAAUUAUCUUUGAUAAUAGUAGACGUAAGUAGUUUAGGUAUGAAUUUUAGAGGGUUAUUUUGAAUUCUUUCAUACUGGCAGUGUUGUGUAAUUUAGAUAUAAAAUUAGGAGAUACUUUAUAUAUUUUCAUAAUGAUAGAUGUCGGUAAUUAUUUAUAAAAUAGAAUAAAUAUAAUGGAUAUUAUUGAUGAUGACGAUGAUUUGAGUCUACCAAGUUACAAGCUAUGUUUCUGAUUGUUGUGAGAGUUUCUUAGAUUUUUUUUCUUAGUGUGUUUGAUAAGAGGUACUCCCUCUGUCCCAUAAAUUGUGUCGUUUUGGAGAAUGACGCUUGUAUCAAGAAUAUAGCUGUGUACUCCAGUAUGCAAUGAUUUCAUCAGCUAAAAAGUGCAGUACUAGUACAAGCAGCAAGGUGGAGAUGGAGGUUUGUGCUUUUUUUAUUCUUGGCCGAGUUCCAUUGGCCGGCAAGGCAUAAGGCCUCGUUUAGUUGGCAAAAUUUUAGGAUUUUGGGUACUGUAGUAUUUUGUUUUUAUUUGACAAAUAUUAUCCAAUCAUGAACUAACUAGGUUUAAAAGAUUCGUCUCACAAAUUACAUGUAAAAUGUGUAAUUAGUUUUUGUUUUCGUCU
rnacentral:lncRNA from 1 species